rnacentral:rRNA from 1 species
GAUGAACGCUAGCGGGAGGCCUAAUACAUGCAAGUCGAACGGUAAAUGGUAGCAAUACUAUGAGAGUGGCGUACGGGUGCGUAACGCGUACACAACCUGCCUUAUACUGGAGCAUAGCCUUGGGAAACUAAGAUUAACUCUCCAUAACAUUGCGAAAUGGCAUCAUUUUGCAAUUAAAACUCCGGUGGUAUAAGAUGGGUGUGCGUCUGAUUAGGUAGUUGGUGAGGUAACGGCUCACCAAGCCGACGAUCAGUAGCUGGUCUGAGAGGACGAUCAGCCACACGGGCACUGAGACACGGGCCCGACUCCUACGGGAGGCAGCAGUAGGGAAUAUUGGACAAUGGGCGAAAGCCUGAUCCAGCCAUCCCGCGUGAAGGAUUAAGGCCCUCUGGGUUGUAAACUUCUUUUCUUUGGGAAUAAAAAGCGGUAUUUUUAUCGCCUUGAAGGUACCAGAGGAAUAAGCACCGGCUAACUCCGUGCCAGCAGCCGCGGUAAUACGGAGGGUGCAAGCGUUAUCCGGAUUCACUGGGUUUAAAGGGUGCGUAGGUGGUCUGAUAAGUCAGCGGUGAAAGCCUGGAGCUCAACUCCAGAAUUGCCAUUGAUACUGUCG